UACGAAGGGGGCUAGCGUUGUUCGGAAUUACUGGGCGUAAAGCGUAUGUAGGCGGGUCGUUAAGUCGGGGGUGAAAUCCCAAGGCUCAACCUUGGAACUGCCUUUGAUACUGGGGAUCUCGAGUCCGGAAGAGGUGAGUGGAACUGCGAGUGUAGAGGUGAAAUUCGUAGAUAUUCGCAAGAACACCGGUGGCGAAGGCGGCUUCCUGGACCGACACUGACGCUGAGGCGCGAAAGCUAGGGGAGCAAACGGG
rnacentral:rRNA from 1 species